GUUUGCAUCUGGAAUGACUGAGAAAAUGCCUGCAACUGUUAAGGCAGUGUUAGGCACGUAGGAAGCACUCAAUAGCCAUCAGGCCUGGCUGUGAUGCUUUUUCUGUUGCUCAUUAUGAAUACCCAGACUCCACUGCUUACUAGCUGGGAGAACUUGGGCCACGGGGUUUCACCAUGUUGGUCAGGCUGGUCUCCAAUUCCUGACCUCAGAUGAUCUGCCUGCCUUGAUCUUUCAAAGUGCUGGGAUUACAGGCAUGAACCACUGCGCCUGGCCCUGUGGUCUCUUUAUAACCCUCUCAUAGGGUGCCUUUGGUGGGCUGGGUAUUGGUUUGGACAUCUGUCUCCCCUACCCUAUGUGGGCAGUACAUUUGUAACAGACCCUUCUGCUCCUUAAGGUCAC
rnacentral:lncRNA from 1 species